AGAUAUUACUGUGCUUUUGCCAAACAGAAUUAAGAGUUGCAAGGAUCGUAACUAUUGUUGCUUCAGUGUCAGAAGUUGGCCUCAAAGUUUUGUUAAGUAAUGGUUUCAAGACUACAAUACUUAAUGUGAUAAUGCAAAUGUCUUCUGUUUAGCAGAGGCAACCAGAUGAUAAUGAACUCUUUAUGCUUAUCACCACGUUUAGACUCCAAGUCACACAGACUACUACUGUGGACUGUGAAUCAGCAAAACCUCAGCAAACACUCCAGUUCAUAGCUGUAUGGGAACUGUUGAGUCACAGCCUGCACUAUUGAGCACCUGAGGAAAGGACCCGGUCAGCCCUGGGAGCACAGGUGAAGGCAGUUCAGCUGUGUGACUGGAAGGGCUGCAGUCUGGCAGCACCUCUCUUAGACCUCAUUUAAGGGCUGACUGCCACUGUGGAAGAAUCUCUUUCAGGAGAUUCCUCCUUUGUGGUUUCCUCAGUGAGCCUCAAUCUUCAGAGACAGGUGUGCAUUCCCGAAAGAAGACCCUGACUGCUUCCCAAAUCUGCUGCCAGACAUAAUACUUGUUUUGCCUAUAACCUGAUUACACCCUCUUUACAUCUGCAAUCAGUAAUUAUAACCAGAUAAAAAGCCGGAGAUUCUUUACCUUUACUGAUGCCAACAGCCGGUUGAGGAUGCUGAUAGAUAAAGCAAAAGUUUCAGAGUGAAAUUGGAACUGAGAGCUUAUUUCUGCGAUCCAGAGAAUCGUUUUCUCAUAG